rnacentral:rRNA from 1 species
UGUAAAGAGAAGUGAAACAUCUAAUUAUCUUGGAAGCAAAUCAACCGAGAGCUCACUAGUCGUUGUGAAUAAUUGUGGGCUAGGCUACUUUUUCGUUACUUUUUUUGAACUUUUUAUAGGCCGUAGAGGGUAAGAGCCCCGUAAAAAAAAGUCGUUAAUUUCUUAGUAACGUGUUUUUGCGUGAAGAAAGGGGUUUUCCAUCCUCUAAGCCUUUACUUAGCUAAUAUUCGAUAGUGCAUUUAGUACUGUGAAGGAACGUUGAAAAAAAAGUUCACUCCCAAUGAAAAAUCUGAAUUUUAAUGCUAUUAUCUGUUGGAGCUUUUUCUAUUUUAGUGACAGCGUACCUUUUGUAUAAUGGAUCAGCGACUUUGUAUUAAUGGCGAGCUUAACCUUUUGAGGGUAUGCGUAGUGAAAUCGGCACUGAAAUUAUCUAGUUUUUUAUACAAAACCCGAAACAAGGUGAUCUAAUCAUGAACAAGCUGAAAAAAGAAAGGUAACUUUUUUUUGAGGGCUGUACUCGUGUAUGUGGCAAAAUACUGAGAUGAUUUGUGAUUAGGGGUGAAAGUCCAAUCAAACUUUGAGAUAGCUGGUUUUCUGCGAAAUCUAUUUUAGUAGAGUACUUAAUGCAACUUUUAAGGUAGAGUACUCUUUUAGAAAAGGGUUUUUUCUACUAAUUUUUUGGAAACUUCGAAUAUAGGUUAAUUUGUUUUAAGUAUACAGAUUUAGGGUGCUAAGAUUCUAAAUCAAAAGGGAAACAGCCCAAGAUUGAUCGUUAAGGGCCUUAAAAAUAUAUAAGUCAAAGGCCGUUAAAAACUAAAAACAUUCAGGAGGUAGGCUUGGAAGCAGUCAUCCUAUUAUGAAAGCGUAGUAGCUCACUGACCUAGGUUUUUCAUACCGAAAAUGUAAUGGGAUUAAAAAUAUUUUCCGAAGCGUCAAAAAUAUUUAUUUAUUAUGUAACCUCGUUCCGUGCGGUGUAUGUAAGCUAUCAUUGUUUUUUUACUUUAUCAGUCUGUUCAUAUUACUCACUAUGAACAUAUAUGAUAUAAUUGUAUUUGGUAGCAGAGUGUUCUGUAGGUUGUUAAAAUUAAGCUGUAAAGUUUUUUGUAAAUAUCAGAAGUAAGAAUGCUGAUAUGAGUAACGAAAAAGAGUGUUAUUUAAACAUUCUCACUGUAAAUCCAAGGUUUUCGAUGUUAAGUUAGGCUUCUUCGAAGAAAAAUUCAUCACAAAAAACGGCCCCUAAGAUAUCAGUGAAAACUGGUUUUAAUGGGUAACAGGUGUUCUGUUUUCAGGAAUGUGACAAAAAGUUAUAAAUAAAAGAUUUAUAUUUUAUUUGUUUUGUGCUGAAAAGUUAUUUUUGUGCUUAAUGCUUUUUUCAAGAAAAAGCAUUUUUUGUAAGGUACCGUACUCUAAUCUGACACAGGUGGUUGGGUUGAAUAAACUUAAGUGUAUAAGAGAAUUGCGCAAAAGGAACUCGGCAAAAAAACUCUGUAACUUCGGGACAAAGAGCAACUUUUUAUUCAAGGUAAUGACUUAAUUGUUGUCAUAUAAUCUUAAAAAGCGACUGUUUAACAAAAACACAGGUCACUGCAAAUUCGUAAGAAGACGUAUAGUGGCUGACGCCUGCCCGGUGUUGUAAGGUUAACUUUUAAUGUUUUAGCUUUGAAUUUAAGCCACAAUAAACGGCGGCUGUAACUCUGACGGUCUAAAGGUAGCGAAAUUCUUUGUCACCUAAUUAGUGACCUGCAUGAAUGGCGUAACGACUUUUUUACUGUCUCUUGCGCAAGCUUAGUGAAAUUGAAAUAACUGUGAAGAUACGGUUUUUUAAUAGCAAGACGAAAAGACCCUGGCACCUUUACUGCAGGUAUCUAUUGUAACUGUGUAUUUUUUGUAUAGAAUAAGUGGUAGUUUUUUAGGCUAAAACAUCUGUGAAAUACCACUCUUAAACUAUAUUUUUACUAACUUAAACUGGAGAGAACAGUGGGUAUUGGGUAGUUUGGCUGGGGCGGUCACCUUCCAAAUUGUAACGAAGGUGUGCAAAAGGCAAAUUCAAAGAUGCUUUUUUUUUGAUGAGUGCAAUAGCAAAAAUUUGCUUGACUGUAAGAAAUACAAUUCAAGCAGGGAUUUACGUCGGUUAUAGUGAUCUGAUGUUUUUUUAUGGAGAAAGCAUCACUUUUCGGAAAAAAGGUACGCCAGGGAUAACAGGCUAAUGAUUUUUUAGAGUUCUUAUCGACAAAAUUGUUUGGCACCUCGAUGUCGGCUUUUCACAUCCUGGAGCUGUAGUUGGUUCCAAGGGUUUGGUUGUUCGCCAAUUAAAGUGAAACAUGAGCUGGGUUCAGAACGCCGUGAGGCAGUUUGGUUUCUAUCUACUAAUAUUUGAAGAAAAUUUGAAAAAAUAAACCUUAGUACGAGAGGACUGGGAAAAGUAAACCUCUUGUUUAACGGCUGUUCUUUUGUAGAGCAUUGUCGUAUAGCUACGUUUAUAUUAGAUAAUCACUGAACGCAUUUAAGUGAGAAAUUAUUUUUAAGGCCUGUUUUCUAUUAAAAGAGUCGUGAACACCGAUCACGUAAUUAGGUACUGCG